rnacentral:rRNA from 1 species
UGCCAGCCGCCGCGGUAAUACGGAGGGCACAAGCGUUGUUCGGAAUCAUUGGGCGUAAAGCGGGUGUAGGCGGCUAGGCAAGUCGGGUGUGAAAUCCCUGGGCCCAACCCAGGAACUGCACUCGAAACUGCUUGGCUAGAGUCUCGGAGAGGGUGGCGGAAUUCCCGGUGUAGAGGUGAAAUUCGUAGAUAUCGGGAGGAACACCAGUGGCGAAGGCGGCCACCUGGACGACGACUGACGCUCAGACCCGAAAGCGUGGGGAGCAAACAGGAUUAGAUA